UCUCUCGUAGCUUAGUAGUGAAAGCGUUGGUGCAUAAAGUCAAAGGUCCCGGGUUCGAAUCCCGGCGAGGGUG
rnacentral:tRNA from 1 species